GACGAACGCUGGCGGCGUGCCUAAUACAUGCAAGUAGAACGCUGAAGAGAGGAGCUUGCUCUUCUUGGAUGAGUUGCGAACGGGUGAGUAACGCGUAGGUAACCUGCCUUGUAGCGGGGGAUAACUAUUGGAAACGAUAGCUAAUACCGCAUAACAAUGGAUGACACAUGUCAUUUAUUUGAAAGGGGCAAUUGCUCCACUACAAGAUGGACCUGCGUUGUAUUAGCUAGUAGGUGAGGUAAUGGCUCACCUAGGCGACGAUACAUAGCCGACCUGAGAGGGUGAUCGGCCACACUGGGACUGAGACACGGCCCAGACUCCUACGGGAGGCAGCAGUAGGGAAUCUUCGGCAAUGGGGGCAACCCUGACCGAGCAACGCCGCGUGAGUGAAGAAGGUUUUCGGAUCGUAAAGCUCUGUUGUAAGUCAAGAACGGGUGUGAGAGUGGAAAGUUCACACUGUGACGGUAGCUUACCAGAAAGGGACGGCUAACUACGUGCCAGCAGCCGCGGUAAUACGUAGGUCCCGAGCGUUGUCCGGAUUUAUUGGGCGUAAAGCGAGCGCAGGCGGUUUGAUAAGUCUGAAGUUAAAGGCUGUGGCUCAACCAUAGUUCGCUUUGGAAACUGUCAAACUUGAGUGCAGAAGGGGAGAGUGGAAUUCCAUGUGUAGCGGUGAAAUGCGUAGAUAUAUGGAGGAACACCGGUGGCGAAAGCGGCUCUCUGGUCUGUAACUGACGCUGAGGCUCGAAAGCGUGGGGAGCGAACAGGAUUAGAUACCCUGGUAGUCCACGCCGUAAACGAUGAGUGCUAGGUGUUGGAUCCUUUCCGGGAUUCAGUGCCGCAGCUAACGCAUUAAGCACUCCGCCUGGGGGGUACGACCGCAAGGUUGAAACUCAAAGGAAUUGACGGGGGCCCGCACAAGCGGUGGAGCAUGUGGUUUAAUUCGAAGCAACGCGAAGAACCUUACCAGGUCUUGACAUCCCGAUGCUAUUUCUAGAGAUAGAAAGUUACUUCGGUACAUCGGUGACAGGUGGUGCAUGGUUGUCGUCAGCUCGUGUCGUGAGAUGUUGGGUUAAGUCCCGCAACGAGCGCAACCCCUAUUGUUAGUUGCCAUCAUUCAGUUGGGCACUCUAGCGAGACUGCCGGUAAUAAACCGGAGGAAGGUGGGGAUGACGUCAAAUCAUCAUGCCCCUUAUGACCUGGGCUACACACGUGCUACAAUGGUUGGUACAACGAGUUGCGAGUCGGUGACGGCGAGCUAAUCUCUUAAAGCCAAUCUCAGUUCGGAUUGUAGGCUGCAACACGCCUACAUGAAGUCGGAAUCGCUAGUAAUCGCGGAUCAGCACGCCGCGGUGAAUACGUUCCCGGGCCU
rnacentral:rRNA from 1 species